GCGCGAAUUUCACUAUUGAUUGGUAAUACGCCCGCGCUUAUAAGGGCGAAUUUGGGUCCCGACGUAUCUUGUUUCUCGGCCAUCCAUGCUGGUCGCAGCAGUCGGAUUAGUUGCUCGUGUUCUUUCCCUGAUCUCUGGGGGUUCAGUUUUACACCUGCAAGUCGAGCCGAGCAAUUCCUGAUUGGAGAACGAGCUAGAUCAAAGCCAGCUCGAGUAAUGAGUGGAUAAUUUUCCCGUAAGAUCGGGUUAACAGCCUGAACCGACUGGUAAUCCAGGAUAUCCGGCAUAUUCAACCACAUGUGGUAAAGAUGGCCUUUAUUAAUAAGCUAUCGCUUUAGGAUGAUCCCGCGUUUCAUUCGGUGGUUGGUGGGGUAACGGCCUAACAAGGUAUUCCCUAGUAGCUGUUCUGAGAGGAUGAUCAGCCACACUGGGACUGAAACACGGCCCAGACUCGUGCGGGAGGCAGCAGUGGGGAAUAUUGCGCAAUGGGGGAAACCCUGAUGCAGCGACGCCGUCAGUAGGAGAAGGCUUUUGGGUCGUAAAGUACAGUCAGGAGGGAAGAAACUGUUUGGGUAUAAUACGCCCAUUCACUGACGGUACCUCCAGAGGAAGCACCGACUAAUUCCGUGCCAGCAGCCGCGGUAAUACGGAGGGUGCGAGCGUUUAUUGGAAUCCCUGGGCGUACACGUGUGUAGGCGGCGCUCCCAAGUCAGCCGUGCAAAGCCCUCCGGCUCUCCCCGUCGCGUUUUACC
rnacentral:rRNA from 1 species